UAGGGAAUCUUCCGCAAUGGGCGAAAGCCUGACGGAGCAACGCCGCGUGAGUGAUGAAGGUCUUCGGAUCGUAAAACUCUGUUAUCAGGGAAGAACAAAUGUGUAAGUAACUAUGCACGUCUUGACGGUACCUAAUCAGAAAGCCCCGGCUAACUACGUGCCAGCAGCCGCGGUAAUACGUAGGUGGCAAGCGUUAUCCGGAAUUAUUGGGCGUAAAGCGCGCGUAGGCGGUUUUUUAAGUCUGAUGUGAAAGCCCACGGCUUAACCGGGGGGGGUCAUGGGAAACUGGAAAUCUAGAGUGCAGAAGAGGAAAGUGGAAUUCCAUGUGUAGCGGUGAAAUGCGCAGAGAUAUGGAGGAACAACAGUGGCGAAGGCGACUUUCUGGUCUGUAACUGACGCUGAUGUGCGAAAGCGUGGGGAUCAAACAGG
rnacentral:rRNA from 1 species